rnacentral:sRNA from 1 species
CUGACAGGUCUCUAGAAGAUGAAAUCCUCUUAUUAACCAUAGAACAAACACAGCAGGACAUCAGCAGUGCAAACUUAACCUGCACUGUCCAACCAAUGUGCCUCAUCCAUGAACUGGAGAGACCACCAUGCUGAAAGAAUGGUUCAUUUUUCAUGUACAUUAAGCCGGGCCUUCU